rnacentral:rRNA from 1 species
UACGAAGGGGGCUAGCGUUGCUCGGAAUUACUGGGCGUAAAGGGCGCGUAGGCGGAUAGUUUAGUCAGAGGUGAAAGCCCAGGGCUCAACCUUGGAAUUGCCUUUGAUACUGGCUAUCUUGAGUUCGGGAGAGGUGAGUGGAAUGCCGAGUGUAGAGGUGAAAUUCGUAGAUAUUCGGCGGAACACCAGUGGCGAAGGCGACUCACUGGCCCGAGACUGACGCUGAGGCGCGAAAGCGUGGGGAGCAAACAGG